rnacentral:rRNA from 1 species
UACGUAGGGUGCGAGCGUUGUCCGGAAUUAUUGGGCGUAAAGGGCUCGUAGGCGGUUUGUCGCGUCGGGAGUGAAAACACCGGGCUUAACUCGGUGCUUGCUUUCGAUACGGGCAGACUAGAGGCAUGCAGGGGAGAACGGAAUUCCUGGUGUAGCGGUGAAAUGCGCAGAUAUCAGGAGGAACACCAGCGGCGAAGGCGGCGCUCUGGGCCGGUACUGACGCUGAGGAGCGAAAGCGUGGGGAGCAAACAGG